GAUGAACGCUGGCGGCGUGCUUAACACAUGCAAGUCGAACGGAAAGGCCCUGCUUUCGUGGGGUGCUCGAGUGGCGAACGGGUGCGUAACACGUGAGUAACCUGCCCUUGACUUUGGGAUAACUUCAGGAAAGUGGGGCUAAUACCGGAUAGGAGCUCCUGUUGCAUGGAGGGGGUUGGAACGUUUCGGCGGGUGGGGAUGGACUCGCGGCUUAUCAGCUUGUUGGUGGGGUAGUGGCUUACCAAGGCUUUGACGGGUCGCCGGCCUGGGAGGGUGACCGGCCACCUUGGGACUGAGAUACGGCCCAGACUCCUACGGUAGGCAGCAGUGGGGAAUAUUGCACAAUGGGCGGAAGCCUGAUGCAGCAACGCCGCGUGCGUGAUGACGGCCUUCGGGUUGUAAACCGCUUUCGCCUGUGACGAAGCGUGAGUGACGGUAAUGGGUAAAGAAGCACCGGCUAACUACGUG
rnacentral:rRNA from 1 species